rnacentral:rRNA from 1 species
UACGUAGGGUGCGAGCGUUGUCCGGAAUUACUGGGCGUAAAGAGCUCGCAGGUGGUUUGUCGCGUUGUUCGUGAAAACUCACAACUCAAUUGUGGGCAUGCGGGCGAUACGGGCAGACUGGAGUACUGCAGGGGAGACUGGAAUUCCUGGUGUAGCGGUGGAAUGCGCAGAUAUCAGGAGGAACACCGGUGGCGAAGGCGGGUCUCUGGGCAGUAACUGACGCUGAGGAGCGAAAGCGUGGGGAGCGAACAGG